rnacentral:rRNA from 1 species
GAUGAACGCUAGCUACAGGCUUAACACAUGCAAGUCGAGUGACCGGCGCACGGGUGAGUAACACGUAUCCAACCUGCCCUUUACUCGGGGAUAGCCUUUCGAAAGAAAGAUUAGUACCCGAUGUAAAGGAUGGGAAUGCGUUCCAUUAGGUUGUUGGUGAGGUAACGGCUCACCAAGCCUUCGAUGGAUAGGGGUUCGGAGAGGAAGGUCCCCAACAGUGGAACUGAGACACGGUCCAAACGCCUAAGGGAGGCAGCAGGGAGGAAUAUUGGUCAAUGGGCGUUAGCCUGAACCAGCCAAGUAGCGUGAAGGAUGAAGGCUUAUGGGUCGUAAACUGCUUUUAUAUAAGAAUAGGUAUUAUAUGAAUAAGGAGCGGCUAACUCCGUGCCAGCAGCCGCGGUAAUAC